CGGCGGUUGGACACACGGUGAGCGUGCUGCUCGUGUUGCAGGAGGCAAUGAUGGAGGAGGAUGAAGGUAAAGUGACGCCGUGUGGAUAAACAUCAGUACAGUCAGAGGCGCUACCCGGCCGGUGUUCUGCCAGCAGCACUUCACCGGGCCUUCAGCUGCAACAUGGGAACGAGAAGAGACAACAUACAACGGCUUAAUCACAAGGCAGGAUCGGGAGACGCUGGAGCGGGGAGAGGAGUGAGGAAGAGAGAGAGAGGAAUUAUGGGAUAUUCCAGCCAGGUCUCAUCACGGCAGUGUUUUACCUCGCAGGAUCAUCCUCCACAGAGAGAGACUCAAAGAUUAAACGCAUCUUCUCCUGCUGAAUACACACAGACGAUUUACAUCUGUACUUGUGUGCACACUCCUCUGUAAUGCACAAACUUCUGUUAUGUUUGGGAUGACAGGAGGAGAAAUAAAAAACAAAUACAGAGAGUGGGCGGUCCUUAAUGC